rnacentral:rRNA from 1 species
UACGAAGGGUGCAAGCGUUACUCGGAAUUACUGGGCGUAAAGCGUGCGUAGGUGGUUUGUUAAGUCUGUCGUGAAAGCCCCGGGCUCAACCUGGGAAUGGCGGUGGAUACUGGCAGGCUAGAGUACGGUAGAGGAUGGUGGAAUUCCCGGUGUAGCAGUGAAAUGCGUAGAGAUCGGGAGGAACAUCCGUGGCGAAGGCGACUACCUGGACCAGCACUGGCACUGAGGCACGAAAGCGUGGGGAGCAAACAGG